CCCAUCUCUAGUACUGACAAGCCAAUAAAAUCUAAAUUUCACAUUGAUGGCACUACUCCAGCUGCAUUUCCUCCUCCUCGUCGGCUCUUGACUGAGGAGAUCCCUCAGAUUGUCGAGGACUAUAGAAUUGCUGCAAGAAAUGCUAUAGAAGCAGGUUUCGAUGGAGUGGAGAUUCAUGGAGCCAACGGGUACCUAAUUGAUCAAUUCUUGAAAGAUAAGGUAAAUGAUAGGACAGAC
rnacentral:misc_RNA from 1 species